rnacentral:rRNA from 1 species
UACGUAGGGUGCAAGCGUUGUCCGGAAUUAUUGGGCGUAAAGAGCGUGUAGGCGGCCCGAUUAGUCCGCUGUGAAAGUCCAGGGCUCAACCCUGGAAUGCCGGUGGAUACUGUCGGGCUAGAGUCCGGAAGGGGCGAGUGGAAUUCCUGGUGUAGCGGUGAAAUGCGCAGAUAUCAGGAGGAACACCGAUGGCGAAGGCAGCUCGCUGGGACGGUACUGACGCUGAGGAGCGAAAGCGUGGGGAGCGAACAGG